rnacentral:rRNA from 1 species
AUUGAACGCUGGCGGCAGGCCUAACACAUGCAAGUCGAACGAGUGGCGGACGGGUGAGUAAUGUCUGGGAAACUGCCUGAUGGAGGGGGAUAAAUACUGGAAACGGUAGCUAAUACCGCAUACCAUCAGAUGUGCCAGGAAGGGAUUAGCUAGUGGGUGGGGUAACGGCUCAACAAGGCGCCGCUCCCUAGCUGUGCUGAGAGGAUGACCAGCCACACUGGAACUGAGCCACGGUCCAGACUCCUACGGGAGGCAGCAGUGGGGAAUAUUGCACAAUGGGCGCAAGCCUGAUGCAGCCAUGCCGCGUGUAUGAAGAAGGCCUUCGGGUUGUAAAGUACUUUCAGCGGGGAGGCGUUACCCGCAGAAGAAGCACCGGCUAACUCCGUGCCAGCAGCCGCGGUAAUAC